rnacentral:rRNA from 1 species
UACGGAGGGUGCGAGCGUUGUCCGGAAUCACUGGGCGUAAAGGGCGCGUAGGCGGCUUCUCAAGCGUGUGGUGAAAGUCCGGGGCUCAACCCCGGAUCGGCCGUGCGGACUGGGGAGCUCGAGUUCUGUAGAGGCGGGUGGAAUUCCGGGUGUAGCGGUGGAAUGCGUAGAGAUCCGGAAGAACACCGGUGGCGAAGGCGGCCCGCUGGGCAGAGACUGACGCUGAGGAGCGAAAGCGUGGGGAGCGAACAGG